AUUGAACGCUGGCGGAAUGCUUUACACAUGCAAGUCGAGCGGCAGCGCGGGGCAACCUGGCGGCGAGCGGCGAACGGGUGAGUAAUACAUCGGAACGUACCCAGUUGUGGGGGAUAGCCCGGCGAAAGCCGGAUUAAUACCGCAUACGACCUGAGGGUGAAAGUGGGGGAUCGCAAGGCCUCACGCAGUUGGAGCGGCCGAUGGCGGAUUAGCUAGUUGGUAGGGUAAAGGCCUACCAAGGCGACGAUCCGUAGCGGGUCUGAGAGGACGACCCGCCACACUGGAACUGAGACACGGUCCAGACUCCUACGGGAGGCAGCAGUGGGGAAUUUUGGACAAUGGGGGCAACCCUGAUCCAGCCAUUCCGCGUGAGUGAAGAAGGCCUUCGGGUUGUAAAGCUCUUUCGGCAGGAACGAAACGGUGGGCUCUAACAUAGCCUGCUAAUGACGGUACCUGAAGAAGAAGCACCGGCUAACUACGUGCCAGCCGCCGCCGUAA
rnacentral:rRNA from 1 species